rnacentral:rRNA from 1 species
GAAAGUNGGAGGCAAUANCAGGUCUGUGAUGCCCAUAGAUGUUCUGGGCAGCACGCGCACUACUCUGAAUAAUUCGACGAGUUCAUCAGGGCCUGACACAAGGCCGGGUAAUCUUGCAACUCCAGUGAUGAAGGGGAUAGAUUCUUNCAAUUAUUGAUCUUCAACGAGGAAUUCCUAGUAAACGCAGUUCAUCAGACUGCAUGGAUUACGUCCCUGCCCUUUGUACACACCGCCCGUCGCACCUACCGAUUGGAUGGUCCGGUGAAACCUUCGGAUCGUUGGCCGUAAGCCGCAAGGCUUUGGCCAGUGAGAAGUUGGGUAAACCUUACCAUCUAGAGGAAGGUGAAGUCGUAACAAGGUUUCCGUAGGUGAACCUGCAGAAGGAUCA